CAAUAGCGUAUAUUAAAGUUGUUGCGGUUAAAAAGCUCGUAGUUGGAUUUCUGCCGAGGACGACCGGUCCGCCCUCUGGGUGAGUAUCUGGCUCGGCCUGGGCAUCUUCUUGGAGAACGUAGCUGCACUUGACUGUGUGGUGCGGUAUCCAGGACUUUUACUUUGAGGAAAUUAGAGUGUUUCAAGCAGGCUUACGCCUUGAAUACAUUAGCAUGGAAUAAUAAGAUAGGACCUCGGUUCUAUUUUGUUGGUUUCUAGAGCUGAGGUAAUGAUUAAUAGGGAUAGUUGGGGGCAUUCGUAUUUAACUGUCAGAGGUGAAAUUCUUGGAUUUGUUAAAGACGGACUACCGCGAAAGCAUUUGCCAAGGAUGUUUUCAUUG
rnacentral:rRNA from 1 species